rnacentral:rRNA from 1 species
GAUGAACGCUGGCGGCGUGCCUAAUACAUGCAAGUCGAGCGAACGGACGAGAAGCUUGCUUCUCUGAUGUUAGCGGCGGACGGGUGAGUAACACGUGGAUAACCUACCUAUAAGACUGGGAUAACUUCGGGAAACCGGAGCUAAUACCGGAUAAUAUUUUGAACCGCAUGGUUCAAAAGUGAAAGACGGUCUUGCUGUCACUUAUAGAUGGAUCCGCGCUGCAUUAGCUAGUUGGUAAGGUAACGGCUUACCAAGGCAACGAUGCAUAGCCGACCUGAGAGGGUGAUCGGCCACCCCGGAACUGAGACCCGGUCCAGGCUCCUACGGGAGGCAGCAGUAGGGAAUCUUCCGCAAUGGGCGAAAGCCUGACGGAGCAACGCCGCGUGAGUGAUGAAGGUCUUCGGAUCGUAAAACUCUGUUAUUAGGGAAGAACAUAUGUGUAAGUAACUGUGCACAUCUUGACGGUACCUAAUCAGAAAGCCACGGCUAACUACGUG